AUUGAACGCUGGCGGCAGGCUUAACACAUGCAAGUCGAGCGGAGUGAUGGUGCUUGCACUAUCACUUAGCGGCGGACGGGUGAGUAAUGCUUAGGAAUCUGCCUAUUAGUGGGGGACAACAUCUCGAAAGGGAUGCUAAUACCGCAUACGUCCUACGGGAGGAAGCAGGGGAUCACUUGUGACCUUGCGCUAAUAGAUGAGCCUAAGUCGGAUUAGCUAGUUGGUGGGGUAAAGGCCUACCAAGGCGACGAUCUGUAGCGGGUCUGAGAGGGUGAUCCGGCACACUGGGACUGAGACACGGCCCAGACUCCUACGGGAGGCAGCAGUGGGGAAUAUUGGACAAUGGGGGGAACCCUGAUCCAGCCAUGCCGCGUGUGUGAAGAAGGCCUUAUGGUUGUAAAGCACUUUAAGCGAGGAGGAGGCUCUUUUGGUUAAUACCCAAGAUGAGUGGACGUUACUCGCAGAAUAAGCACCGGCUAACUCUGUGCCAGCAGCCGCGGUAA
rnacentral:rRNA from 1 species